AUCACCUCCUUUUGAGCAAAGACAGCAUCGUCCUGUCGGGCGUCUUCACAAAGUACCUGCAUUCAGAGAAUCAGGUCGGGCAGGCCGAUGUGAGAGUCCCUUUUGGGGCCUUAGCUCAGCUGGGAGAGCACCUGCUUUGCAAGCAGGGGGUCGUCGGUUCGAUCCCGACAGGCUCCACCAUGUCGGAGUUUGUUCCGGAAAGAAUUUCCGGGUCUGUAGCUCAGGUGGUUAGAGCGCACCCCUGAUAAGGGUGAGGUCGGUAGUUCGAGUCUACCCAGACCCACCAUUACUUGAAUGACGCAUACAUUCGAUGUUUAUACGCAUCAGCACUGUGGCUGGUACGUGUUCUUUUAAAACUUGUGACGUAGCGAGCGUUUGAGAUGUUCUAUCAGACGUGUCGUGAGGCUAAGGCGAGAGACAUAAGUCUCUUUAUUGAUUGAGUCGUUAUAUUCGUAUCCGGGCUUUGUACCCCCGGGUCAUGUGUACCCCAAAGGC
rnacentral:misc_RNA from 1 species